rnacentral:rRNA from 1 species
GUACGUUCGCAGAUUAAACUCAAGGAUAGACGGGACCCGCACAAGUGGUGAGCAUGUGGUUAAUUCGAAGAUACGCGAAGAACCUUACCUAGCCUUGACAUAUUUUAGAACACACCAGAGAUGGAGUGGUGCCUUCGGGAGCUAAUAUACAGGUGCUGCACGGCUGUCGUCAGCUCGUGUCGUGAGAUGUUGGGUUAAGUCCCGCAACGAGCGCAACCCUCGUCACUAGUUACUAACGGUUCGGCCGAGGACUCUAGUGAGACUGCCUUCGUAAGGAGGAGGAAGGUGAGGACGACGUCAAGUCAUCAUGGCCCUUACGGCUAGGGCAACACACGUGCUACAAUGGUUAGGACAAUGAGAGGCGAUACCGCGAGGUGGAGCAAAUCUAUAAACCUAAUCUCAGUUCGGAUUGUAGUCUGCAACUCGACUACAUGAAGCUGGAAUCACUAGUAAUCGUAGAUCAGCUAUGCUACGGUGAAUACGUUCCCGGGUCUUGUACUCACCGCCCGUCACACCAUGGGAGUUGAUUUCACCCGAAGCGGGGAAGCUAAACUGGCUACCCUCCACGGUGGAAUUAGCGACUGGGGUGAAGUCGUAACA